UGGCGGACGGGUGAGUAAUGUCUGGGAAACUGCCUGAUGGAGGGGGAUAACUACUGGAAACGGUAGCUAAUACCGCAUAACGUCGCAAGACCAAAGAGGGGGACCUUCGGGCCUCUUGCCAUCGGAUGUGCCCAGAUGGGAUUAGCUAGUAGGUGGGGUAAAGGCUCACCUAGGCGACGAUCCCUAGCUGUCUGAGAGGAUGACCAGCCACACUGGAACUGAGACACGGUCCAG
rnacentral:rRNA from 1 species